rnacentral:sRNA from 1 species
AGGUGGUUGGCAAGGCAGGGGUAACAGGGGGAAGGAGAAAAUCUGAAAUGCCGGUGUGAGCUCCGGGCCAAGAGAGUUGAGGACUCAGGAGGCAGGAAUCCCCCGUGGCCGCCCGCUGCUUGGCUGUGGGCUCCAACUUGGUGUGUGCUCAGAGAAGGCAGUGGUUGGAGUGAACAGGGCCUGUGCCAGGUGGGGAGACUAGCCAAGGUGUUUGUGCAGCCUGGCCUCUGGAGCGGCCUGGGAAGAGCUGGAGUUCGCAGGGUGGGAGCUGCCCUGUGGCUGGGAGCCCGUGCUGGCGUCCCUGCCAGGCGGUGAUCUCACAGAAACAGGGUCUAGCUAUGUUGCCCUGGCUGGUAUCAAACUCCUGGACUCAAACGAAAGUGCUGGGAUUCCAGGCAUGAGCCAGCGUUCCCGGCCUGCAUACGGGAUGAUUCCAUGUGGACUGCCACAUCAAGGAAGCAAACAAGGAAAGCCUGGCGCUGCGUGGAGCUGUCUUUCGCUGCUAACUGCCCUUGACCGACUUCCUACCAGGUCUUCCCCGUGCGCCUCUAACCCCAGGAGGUGCUGCUGGCAUGCCCACCUCUCAGAUGAAGCAGUGCGGUCCAGAGAGCGUCUUGGGCACCGCCUGCCUCACAGCUGGGCCCCUGACCCUCCAGGGACUGUGGCUGAGCAGCCAUGGCUGCCUGGACAGGUGUCCCCUGGCCCGUCUGUCCGUCUGGAUGUGGGAACCCUCCAGGCACGCGGGGGCGGGCAGGUGCCAGGUGCU